rnacentral:rRNA from 1 species
GACGAACGCUGGCGGCGUGCCGAAUACAUGCAAGUCGAACGCUUUUUCUUUCACCGGAGCUUGCUCCACCGAAAGAAAAGGAGUGGCAAACGGGUGAGUAACACGUGGGUAACCUGCCCAUCAGAAGGGGAUAACACGUGGAAACAGGUGCUAAUACCGUAUAACACUAUUUUCAGCAUGGAAGAAAGUUGAAAGGCGCUUCUGAGUCAAUGCUGGAUGGACCGGGGGUGCAUUAGCUAGUUGGUGAGGUAACGGCUCACCAAGGCAACGAUGCAUAGACGACCUGACAGGGUGAUCGGCCACACUGGGACUGAGACACGGCCCAUACUCCUACGGGAGGUAGCAGUAGGGAAUCUUCGGCAAUGGACGAAAGUCUGACAGAGCAACGCCGCGUGAGUGAAGAAGGUUUUCGGAUCGUAAAACUCUGUUGUUAGAGAAGAACAAGGAUGAGAGUAAAACGUUCAUCCCUUGACGGUAUCUAACCAGAAAGCCACGGCUAACUACGUGCCAGCCGCCGCCGUAA